GAUGAACGCUGGCGGCGUGCCUAAUACAUGCAAGUCGAACGAAUCUCUUCGGAGAUGAGUGGCGAACGGGUGAGUAAUACAUAGGUAACCUGCCCCUGUGCGGGGGAUAACAGGAGGAAACUCCUGCUAAUACCGCAUAGCCAUGAGCACCGCAUGGAGCUCAUGCCAAAUAUCCUUUCGGGGAUAGCGCAGGGAUGGACCUAUGGCGCAUUAGCUUGUUGGCGGGGCAACGGCCCACCAAGGCAACGAUGCGUAGCCGGCCUGAGAGGGCGGACGGCCACAUUGGGACUGAGACACGGCCCAGACUCCUACGGGAGGCAGCAGUAGGGAAUUUUCGGCAAUGGGGGAAACCCUGACCGAGCAACGCCGCGUGAGCGAAGAAGGCCUUCGGGUCGUAAAGCUCUGUUGUAAAGGAAGAACGGCGCAUACAGGAAAUGGUAUGCGAGUGACGGUACUUUACCAGAAAGCCACGGCUAACUACGUGCCAGCAGCCGCGGUAAUACGUAGGUGGCGAGCGUUAUCCGGAAUCAUUGGGCGUAAAGAGGGAGCAGGCGGCCGCAAGGGUCUGUGGUGAAAGACCGAAGCUAAACUUCGGUAAGCCAUGGAAACCGGGCGGCUAGAGUGCGGAAGAGGAUCGUGGAAUUCCAUGUGUAGCGGUGAAAUGCGUAGAUAUAUGGAGGAACACCAGUGGCGAAGGCGACGGUCUGGGCCGCAACUGACGCUCAUUCCCGAAAGCGUGGGGAGCAAAUAGGAUUAGAUACCCUAGUAGUCCACGCCGUAAACGAUGGUCACUAAGUGUCGGGGGUCAAACCCCGGUGCUGCAGUCAACGCAAUAAGUGACCCGCCUGAGUAGUACGUUCGCAAGAAUGAAACUCAAAGGAAUUGACGGAA
rnacentral:rRNA from 1 species